rnacentral:tRNA from 1 species
UGGGAUGUGGCUUGGUGGUAGAGCCUUUGCCUGGCAUGCAUGAGGCCCUGGGGUCCAUGCCCAGCACCACAA